UACGUAGGGGGGCUAGCGUUGUCCGGAAUCAUUGGGCGUAAAGCGCGUGUAGGCGGCCCGAUAAGUCCGCUGUGAAAGUCCAGGGCUCAACCCUGGGAUGCCGGUGGAUACUGUCGGGCUCGAGUCCGGAAGAGGAGAGUGGAAUUCCUGGUGUAGCGGUGAAAUGCGCAGAUAUCAGGAAGAACACCCGUGGCGAAGGCGGCUCUCUGGGACGGUACUGACGCUGAGACGCGAAAGCGUGGGGAGCGAACAGG
rnacentral:rRNA from 1 species